UCUAGGUAUCCCCACUGCACUUCUUAUACUGGCAGUCAUCUUCUUCAUUAUUUCAGUUGUUCUAGCAGUCUGCUAUAUCAAAAAGUACAAGAAAACCUUCCCAUUUUCAAACAAGAAUCCGCAAAAAGAAAUGGUUGAAACUACUGCUCUGAAAGAGGCUAAGUCAAAUGACAAAACACCUGAGAAGGAAACAAAGAAUAAUGGAAAAAAGGUGGAAGAGUCUAAAACCAAGCCUGAGGCCACAGUAAAAUGUCUAGAAGCAGAAGUUUAAGGGGAAGAAUGUACACUUCUUGAUAGAAAUAUAAAAUGAAGCACACAGAACUUAGCAAUGCUUUUAAACAUGGGUGAUUGUAAAUACUCAUGACUGAAUAUUUUCUCUAUCUUAACAUAUGAAAACUUGUUUUUUUUAAUAAUUACAUCUUUAGCUAUAAACGCUCUUGCAGAAGAACAUGGUAUCUUAUUUACCUGAAAUAAAUAAAACAUCCGUAUUACAGUUCAUUUUUCAUCUUGAAUAAAGAAGUAAUUAGGAAUACACUAUUAAUGACAUGCAGUGUGUUAACUAUUUGCACGGAAUUCAGAUCAAUAUAUAAUGACAAGGGGUUUUUUAUCUGGCUGGAGGAUGUCUUCUAACUUAAUGUCUAAACUAAAAUGAUGAUACUGUAGCUCUUCCUCAUGUAGAUUAGCUUAUUUCCAUUAAGUAGUUGCAUACUGUUUUUAAAAGUCUGUUUACAAACAGAAGAAAUAAGUCUGUUUACAAGUGAGUAAAAAACUAAAAGAUCAACCCACUGUCAUUCAAAUACCCAAGGAAGGGUACAAGGAUGCUGAUGUUUAUAUGUAUACAGCAAUGAAUAACUUUCUUAGAUAUCUUCAUCAUAUCAUAAUUUACUGUUUUAUUUAUUAAAACCUGUAUCAUUCUUCUGCAUCAGAUAUUUGACGGGGAAAAAAAAAAACCUUGAACUGUAUCUUGACAGUUAUAUUUAAGAUCUUUUGUGUAUAUUUAAGUGUGGCUUUCAUAAUAAAGAUCUCAGGUCAUAUGGGACAUUUACAGUACUUCAUAAAAAAAUAAAGUAUGGUAGA